rnacentral:rRNA from 1 species
AGAGUUUGAUCCUGGCUCAGGACGAACGCUGGCGGCGUGCCUAAUACAUGCAAGUCGAGCGAAUCUUAAGGUGCUUGCACCUUUUGGUUAGCGGCGGACGGGUGAGUAACACGUGGGCAACUUGCCUGUAAGACUGGGAUAACUUCGGGAAACCGGAGCUAAUACCGGAUAAUCCUUUUCCUUUCAUGAGGAAAAGCUGAAAGUCGGUUUACGCUGACACUUACAGAUGGGCCCGCGGCGCAUUAGCUAGUUGGUGAGGUAACGGCUCACCAAGGCGACGAUGSGUAGCCGACCUGAGAGGGUGAUCGGCCACACUGGGACUGAGACACGGCCCAGACUCCUACGGGAGGCAGCAGUAGGGAAUCUUCCSCAAUGGACGAAAGUCUGACGGAGCAACGCCGCGUGAGCGAUGAAGGCCUUCGGGUCGUAAAGCUCUGUUGUUAGGGAAGAACAAGUAUCGGAGUAACUGCCGGUACCUUGACGGUACCUAACCAGAAAGCCACGGCUAACUACGUGCCAGCAGCCGCGGU